rnacentral:rRNA from 1 species
GUAUUGAUUGGUGCUUGCAUCAUGAUUUACAUUUGAGUGAGUGGCGAACUGGUGAGUAACACGUGGGAAACCUGCCCAGAAGCGGGGGAUAACACCUGGAAACAGAUGCUAAUACCGCAUAACAACUUGGACCGCAUGGUCCGAGUUUGAAAGAUGGCUUCGGCUAUCACUUUUGGAUGGUCCCGCGGCGUAUUAGCUAGAUGGUGGGGUAACGGCUCACCAUGGCAAUGAUACGUAGCCGACCUGAGAGGGUAAUCGGCCACAUUGGGACUGAGACACGGCCCAAACUCCUACGGGAGGCAGCAGUAGGGAAUCUUCCACAAUGGACGAAAGUCUGAUGGAGCAACGCCGCGUGAGUGAAGAAGGGUUUCGGCUCGUAAAACUCUGUUGUUAAAGAAGAACAUAUCUGAGAGUAACUGUUCAGGUAUUGACGGUAUUUAACCAGAAAGCCACGGCUAACUACGUGCCAGCAGCCGCGGUAAUACGUAGGUGGCAAGCGUUGUCCGGAUUUAUUGGGCGUAAAGCGAGCGCAGGCGGUUUUUUAAGUCUGAUGUGAAAGCCUUCGGCUCAACCGAAGAAGUGCAUCGGAAACUGGGAAACUUGAGUGCAGAAGAGGACAGUGGAACUCCAUGUGUAGCGGUGAAAUGCGUAGAUAUAUGGAAGAACACCAGUGGCGAAGGCGGCUGUCUGGUCUGUAACUGACGCUGAGGCUCGAAAGUAUGGGUAGCAAACAGGAUUAGAUACCCUGGUAGUCCAUACCGUAAACGAUGAAUGCUAAGUGUUGGAGGGUUUCCGCCCUUCAGUGCUGCAGCUAACGCAUUAAGCAUUCCGCCUGGGGAGUACGGCCGCAAGGCUGAAACUCAAAGGAAUUGACGGGGGCCCGCACAAGCGGUGGAGCAUGUGGUUUAAUUCGAAGCUACGCGAAGAACCUUACCAGGUCUUGACAUACUAUGCAAAUCUAAGAGAUUAGACGUUCCCUUCGGGGACAUGGAUACAGGUGGUGCAUGGUUGUCGUCAGCUCGUGUCGUGAGAUGUUGGGUUAAGUCCCGCAACGAGCGCAACCCUUAUUAUCAGUUGCCAGCAUUAAGUUGGGCACUCUGGUGAGACUGCCGGUGACAAACCGGAGGAAGGUGGGGAUGACGUCAAAUCAUCAUGCCCCUUAUGACCUGGGCUACACACGUGCUACAAUGGAUGGUACAACGAGUUGCGAACUCGCGAGAGUAAGCUAAUCUCUUAAAGCCAUUCUCAGUUCGGAUUGUAGGCUGCAACUCGCCUACAUGAAGUCGGAAUCGCUAGUAAUCGCGGAUCAGCAUGCCGCGGUGAAUACGUUCCCGGGCCUUGUACACACCGCCCGUCACACCAUGAGAGUUUGUAACACCCAAAGUCGGUGGGG